UUCCUGGUCUGCUCUGGUUUGUGUGAUAGU
rnacentral:piRNA from 1 species